rnacentral:tRNA from 1 species
GCGCCUGUAGCUCAGCUGGAUAGAGCAACGGCCUUCUAAGCCGUAGGCCCAGGGUUCGAAUCCCUGCGGGCGCGCCA